UACGAAGGGGGCUAGCGUUGCUCGGAAUUACUGGGCGUAAAGCGCACGUAGGCGGAUUGUUAAGUCGGGGGUGAAAUCCUGGAGCUCAACUCCAGAACUGCCUUCGAUACUGGCGAUCUCGAGUUCGGGAGAGGUGAGUGGAACUGCGAGUGUAGAGGUGAAAUUCGUAGAUAUUCGCAAGAACACCAGUGGCGAAGGCGGCUCACUGGCCCGAUACUGACGCUGAGGCACGAAAGCGUGGGAGCGAACGGGAUAGAAC
rnacentral:rRNA from 1 species